GACGAACGCUGGCGGCGUGCUUAACACAUGCAAGUCGAACGGAAAGGCCCUGCUUUUGUGGGGUUCUCGAGUGGCGAUCGGGUGAGUAACACGUGAGUAACCUGCCCUUGACUUUGGUAUAACUUCAGGAAACUGGGGCUAAUCUCGUAUAGGAGCUCCUGCUGCAUGGUGGGGGUUGGAUCGUUUCGGCGGUUGGGGAUGGACUCGCGGCUUAUCAGCUUGUUGGUGGGGUAGUGGCUUACCAAGGCUUUGACGGGUAGCCGGCCUGUGAGGGUGACCGGCGACAUGAGGACUAAGAGACGGCCCAGAGUCCUACGGGAGGCAGCAGGGGGGAAUAUUGCACAAUGAGCGGAAGCCUGAUGCAGAAACGCCGCGGGCGGGAUGACGGCCUUCGGGUUGUAAACCGCUGUAGCCUGAGACGAAGCGUGAGUGACGGUAAUGGAUAAAGAAGCACCGGCUAACUACGUG
rnacentral:rRNA from 1 species